rnacentral:rRNA from 1 species
CACCUUUCCUAGUUUAACCCGCCUAUAUACCGCCGUCCGCAAGCUUACCCUGUGAAGGCUAUAUAGUAAGCAAAAAUGACUUAAAUCCAAGACGUCAGGUCGAGGUGUAGCGCAUGGAAAGGAAAGAAAUGGGCUACAUUCCCUACCCCAGGGAACACGAAUAAUACACUGAAACGCGUAUUUGAAGGAGGAUUUAAUAGUAAGUAGAAAAUAGAGUGUCCUACUGAAACCGGCCCUGAAGCGCGCACACACCGCCCGUCACUCUCCCCAAACUCAACCCACUAAAUUAAACUUAAACCAUCAUCUAUGAAAAGGGGAGGCAAGUCGUAACAUGGUAAGUGUACCGGAAGGUGUACUUGGAAUAA